rnacentral:rRNA from 1 species
GACGAAUGCUGGCUGCGUGCUUAACACAUGCAAGUCGAACGGUGAAGGGGAGCUUGCUCCCCGGAUCAGUGGCGAACGGGUGAGUAACACGUGGGCAACCUGCCCCUCACUCUGGGAUAACUCCGGGAAACCGGGGCUAAUACCGGAUACGACCGGGAGCGACAUCGCUCCUGGUGGAAAGAACUUCGGUGAGGGAUGGGCCCGCGGCCUAUCAGCUAGUUGGUGGGGUAACGGCCCACCCAGGCGACGACGGGUAGCCGGCCUGAGAGGGCGAACGGCCACACUGGGACUGAGACACAGCCAAGACUCCUACUGGAGGCAGAAGUGGGGAAUAUUGCGCAAUGGGCGAAAGCCUGACGCAGCGACGCAGCGUGAGGGACGAAGGCCUUCGGGUUGUAAACCUCUUUCAGCGGGGACGAAGCGAAAGUGACGGUACCCGCAGAAGAAGCACCAGCUAACUACGUGCCAGCCGCCGCCGUAA